ACACAUGCAAGUCGAGGGGCAGCAUUUCAUUUUGCUUGCAAAGUGAAGAUAGCGAGCGGCGCACGGGUGAGUAACACGUAUCCAACCUGCCGAUAACUCGGGGAUAGCCUUUCGAAAGAAAGAUUAAUAUCCGAUAGCAUAUCAAUCCCGCAUGAGAUUGAUAUUAAAGAAUUUCGGUUAUCGAUGGGGAUGCGUUCCAUUAGUUUGUUGGCGGGGUAACGGCCCACCAAGACUACGAUGGAUAGGGGUUCUGAGAGGAAGGUCCCCCACAUUGGAACUGAGACACGGUCCAAACUCCUACGGGAGGCAGCAGUGAGGAAUAUUGGUCAAUGGACGUAAGUCUGAACCAGCCAAGUAGCGUGAAGGAUGACUGCCCUAUGGGUUGUAAACUUCUUUUAUAUGGGAAUAAAGUAUUCCACGUGUGGGAUUUUGUAUGUACCAUAUGAAUAAGGAUCGGCUAACUCCGUGCCAGCAGCCGCGGUAAUACGGAGGAUCCGAGCGUUAUCCGGAUUUAUUGGGUUUAAAGGGAGCGUAGGUGGAUUGUUAAGUCAGUUGUGAAAGUUUGCGGCUCAACCGUAAAAUUGCAGUUGAAACUGGCAGUCUUGAGUACAGUAGAGGUGGGCGGAAUUCGUGGUGUAGCGGUGAAAUGCUUAG
rnacentral:rRNA from 1 species